rnacentral:rRNA from 1 species
GAUGAACGCUGGCGGCGUGCCUAAUACAUGCGAGUCGAGCGAACAGACGAGGAGCUUGCUCCUCUGACGUUAGCGGCGGACGGGUGAGUAACACGUGGAUAACCUACCUAUAAGACUGGGAUAACUUCGGGAAACCGGAGCUAAUACCGGAUAAUAUAUUGAACCGCAUGGUUCAAUAGUGAAAGACGGUUUUGCUGUCACUUAUAGAUGGAUCCGCGCCGCAUUAGCUAGUUGGUAAGGUAACGGCUUACCAAGGCAACGAUGCGUAGCCGACCUGAGAGGGUGAUCGGCCACACUGGAACUGAGACACGGUCCAGACUCCUACGGGAGGCAGCAGUAGGGAAUCUUCCGCAAUGGGCGAAAGCCUGACGGAGCUACGCCGCGUGAGUGAUGAAGGUCUUCGGAUCGUAAAACUCUGUUAUUAGGGAAGAACAAAUGUGUAAGUAACUAUGCACGUCUUGACGGUACCUAAUCAGAAAGCCACGGCUAACUACGUG